UACGUAGGGGCCUAGCGUUGUCCGGAAUUAUUGGGCGUAAAGAGCUCGUAGGCGGUUUGUUGCGUCGGCCGUGAAAACCUGCAGCUUAACUGUGGGCCUGCGGCCGAUACGGGCAGACUUGAGUUCGGUAGGGGAGACUGGAAUUCCUGGUGUAGCGGUGAAAUGCGCAGAUAUCAGGAGGAACACCGGUGGCGAAGGCGGGUCUCUGGGCCGAUACUGACGCUGAGGAGCGAAAGCGUGGGGAGCGAACAGG
rnacentral:rRNA from 1 species